rnacentral:rRNA from 1 species
AUUGAACGCUGGCGGCAUGCCUUACACAUGCAAGUCGAACGGUAACGCGGGCAACCGUGGCGACGAGUGGCGAACGGGUGAGUAAUGUAUCGGAACGUGCCCAGUAGUGGGGGAUAGCCCGGCGAAAGCCGGAUUAAUACCGCAUACGACCUACGGGUGAAAGAGGGGGAUCGCAAGACCUCUCGCUAUUGGAGCGGCCGAUAUCAGAUUAGGUAGUUGGUGGGGUAAAAGCCUACCAAGCCGACGAUCUGUAGCUGGUCUGAGAGGACGACCAGCCACACUGGGACUGAGACACGGCUNAGACUCCUACGGGAGGCAGCAGUGGGGAAUUUUGGACAAUGGGCGCAAGCCUGAUCCAGCCAUGCCGCGUGCGGGAAGAAGGCCU